rnacentral:rRNA from 1 species
UACGGAGGAUGCGAGCGUUAUCCGGAUUUAUUGGGUUUAAAGGGUGCGUAGGCGGAUCGUUAAGUCAGUGGUCAUAUUGAGGGGCUCAACCCCUUCCCGCCAUUGAAACUGGCGAUCUUGAGUGGAAGAGAAGUAUGCGGAAUGCGUGGUGUAGCGGUGAAAUGCAUAGAUAUCACGCAGAACCCCGAUUGCGAAGGCAGCAUGCCGGCUUCCGACUGACGCUGAAGCACGAAAGCGUGGGGAUCGAACAGG